AUUGAACGCUGGCGGCAGGCCUAACACCUGCAAGUCGUGCGAGCGGCGGACGGGUGAGUAAUGUAUGGGGAUCUGCCUGAUGUAGGGGGAUAACUACUGGAAACGGUAGCUACUACCGCAUACCAUCAGAUGUACCCAUAUGGGAUUAGCUUGUAGGUAAGGUAACGGCUUACCUAGGCGACGAUCCCUAGCUGGUCUGAGAGGAGGAUCAGCCACACUGGGACUGAGACACGGCCCAGACUCCUACGGGAGGCAGCAGUGGGGAAUAUUGCACAAUGGGAGCAAGCCUGAUGCAGCCAUGCCGCGUGUAUGAAGAAGGCCUUCGGGUUGUAAAGUACUUUCAGUCGGGAGGCGUUACCGACAGAAGAAGCACCGGCUAACUCCGUGCCAGCAGCCGCGGUAAUAC
rnacentral:rRNA from 1 species